AUGUGUACUUGGGAGAUGUACCCAGACAAGGGAGGAGUCAGUCUGGGCUUUGCUGUUUCAGGAAAGGAACCACUCCCACACACUGUGGAUGUGUCUGAACAUGCUGUCUUUGCCACGCAAGGAUUAAUUCACAAGGACUUGAAAUUGUAUCAGAACUGGUUUUCGGCCAAACAGCCAACCAUUAUUAACGACUUCGAGUCAUUGAAAUCCAACAUGGAUGUGUCCCGGAUUUCUGGUGCCUGGGAUAUUUUCCAGAUCAAAUUAGUGGUUUCUGUGUGAUGCGAAAAACUGAAGGUUUGUGUGAGUUGCUGUGUGCAAUACAUAUUCUUUUCUGUACAUUUCUGAUGCAUCUAUGGUACUGUAUCUUUUAAUCUUUCUCAGUGAUAUUGCUUUUGAUUUUCAGGUAACUUGGGCCAAAACUCAUCAGUCAGAUUUUAUCGUCCUCUUAUGCUCCCUCUAACUCUUCUCAGAGUAAAGAUUUCAAAAGCAAUUUAGAAAUUCUGUCAACAUCUACGAGAGAGCCAGGAGUAGGAAAAUUAUAUCUUUCUGUACUUCUCCUUAGGACAGAGUAGAGUAAAGGAGAAAGCGUUUUCUGAAAAGGGAUUCUUUUUGACCAGAAAUUUGAGUAAAUUUCUUGUCUCUUACAAGAUACAAGUGGAUCUAAGAAAGUCACACUGUUUAUCGUCAGAUCUAUUGGUGUAUAGAUUUGAAUAGACUCUAAAUGUUUCUUCAACCCACCUUCCCAAAGAAAGUAGGCUGUCUCUGUAUUCAAACUACAAAGAGUGUAUAAUCUUUGAAAAAAGAUUGAAAGCAUCUUCCUACUGUGAUAUUUUUGUGUAGAAAGCUGACUGCUGUGGGGCUGAGUUUGUGUUGGAAAAAAUGUCAUUUUCAAAGAAGAUAAAAUUCAGACUUUUACUUUCAAUAAUUAGAACGGUGAACUCUUUGAAAUUAUGCUUCUUAUUUCACGUCUUCAACAAGGCUGACCAGCAAAUGGUUCUGUAAACAAAACAAGUUAUUGCCAUAUUAAAUGAAAUUUAUUAUGCUAAGGCAUACAAUGGUGAGUGGUCUUUUUUUACGUAUUUUUAUCCUCAUUAUCAUUUAUUACUUGUUAUUUUUCUACAAAAGGAAGAGAGAACGAUAUAUACAGAAAACAUUUUUAAACUUUUUUUUCUUGUUCAUUU
rnacentral:lncRNA from 1 species